rnacentral:misc_RNA from 1 species
UUAAGUUCAGCGGGUAGUCCUACCUGAUCUGAGGUCUAAAUGGCUCGAGUAAUACAAUUACACGUCAACUAAGCGGAUCAGCGUCCCGAGGGAGGUGACUCUACAACACCCGGUCAAACCGCUGAGUCGGCUAGCCUACUGCAUUUAAGACCGGCAGGGCGAACCCCGCCCAGCCCACGUUCCAAUCCACUCCGCGACGU